CUUGCAUUAAAAAGGAAUAAACACAAGUGACACAAUAAAAUGUACUUAAUAUAUGAACUCACGAACAUUGUGUGCAGGAAAAGUUAAUAGAAAUAAUGGUCAAUUACAUCAUGUAAUUUGGUUCUAUACUCUUUUGUGUAUAUAUCCUGAAUGCUACCUCUUUGUGAUCAACUCUUUGUCCUUCGAAUCGAAUGGCACAGCUACUGCCCCUUGUGGAAAAAGAAAUCACUCUGUAAUACCCAUAAAUGUAAGAGGCAAAUAUCAUGUGAUGCAUCUCAACCUGCGCAAAACAAUGUAAAAACUGUACAUGCUAUCUACAUACUCUCAUUGUGUAGCAAAGCAACAAAGCAUAAGGACCAUGUACAAAAGAAUUGACAAUUAGUAAGAAAGAAGCAUGACAUCAGCUGUCUAGGCAACCAUAAAACAAUAAGUGGCAAAAGCCCUAUCAGAAUUAGCAUUUGAAUCCAGUUUAUGAGCUAAAGUUGAGCAUUUACCUAUGUCACAACUGUACCUUGAAGCACGAUCAACAUGCAGGACCUAGCUCGUAAUUCUAUUUAGGAAUCAUUGUCUUCAUAAAGUAAUCAGUAAACUUGGUCAUCCAUGGACCGACUGUAGCUUGCUUGCUAAUUUCCACCUGUCACAAAUAAGACAAUCAUGUUCAAACUGAAGGUGAAAGCAUUACACAUUCAGUCUCUUAUGUAAUUUAGUAUAUACUGAUAAAAUCUCCAUGAAGAAGCAGACGAGCUGCUGGAAAUAAACUGGCAUGGAACGAAAUCAGUGCCACAAAACCAUAUAGACAUGCAUGCUCAUCAAGCAUGUCAUACAUUUUACCCUUAGCUAGUGCUGGUGCCCUACCUCAAGAACCUCCAGCCCACACAAUAGAAAUUCAUCCAUCUCAGCCAUGAAUUCACUUAAAUAGGAAACAAAAUAAAUGUUUUCCUCAGACAUAGUACACUGAAGAAACAAAACUAUGCAGGCUGAACCGAUAAGCUCUUAUGACUGAACAACGCCCAUCCGCAAACAUCAUCAUUCUAGUCAAGAAAAUAACUGAAUAAAGCCCAUCUGUAGCAGUACACUGUUGGAAGAUUAAAAGAUAGUUCAGAUGUAUUUUCCACAAUUUUCUCUAGGAUGAACGCAGGAGCUUGAAAGGAGGGACAAUAUUGGGUUUACCAUGCAACAGAACUGUGCACCAUCAACAAUGGC
rnacentral:lncRNA from 1 species